GUGCUGGUGAACACCUGAUUGUUUUCAAAUGUCCCUGCUUUAUUUCUGGGCUAGGAGGCUAGUUCAGAGGAAUUUGUUAGCUGCUUUGUUCCCUCAGAAUUGCUUCUGUCUCUUACAGGUGAUGAAGGACUCUUAGAAAGCCACUGAAGAAUGAGCUGGAUUGAAGGGAUGUUGCUGUCUGUCCUUCACCUAGCUGACCUUGCCUAGGAUCAUGCAGGCAAACCACUACUGUAAAUGUGCUCCCCAAACACCUCACCUGCAGUGCUGAAGUUUUCUAUGCAGGGGAAAGAAGCUGUGGUACUUUGUAAACUGUUCUGCCUUCAGAGACUCUGAGCAAGCUACAAGAAGCUGUGUACUCUCAGGUAUAAGUGUACCCAACAAUGUAAAUUAAUGCCUAUGUGCUUAAAACAGCAGCUACUUUGUGUUGAUGUGGGAGUUAGCACAGAUC